CUGUGUUCACACAGAGAGGAGAGAGAGUUUCUCCCCUCAAACGGGCAAUGUCUAUCAGGUUGUUAUCUGUAUUCCUUUAAACGAAACAUGUGAUCCCCCAUCUCCUUUUCUUCUGUAAGAAAGAGGCUGUAGGUUGGGUGUUGAAGGAUUGGAGACCUCAGCAGUAUCCUCUGGCAGAUCCUUGCUAAAUGGAAAAGACCAGUGGAAACACCUGGCUGGCCAUCAUCUUAACCAAGUGAUAAGAGUGAACAUCACCAGUAAUGAGACACAUCAUCAUCAUCUGUCUCCUGAUAUGAGGUACUAAGAAGAACAUAGCACACUUCUGUGUUAUUUCUGUCAAAAAUUCAAAAAUCACAAGAAAACAUCAAGCAAACACACAUGGAGAGACGUUUUACAAAGUAACUGACCUGUACUCUUCAAAAAUGUCAACUAUAUGAAAGAUAGAAGACUGAAGAAAUCCCCCAGAUAUUGAGGCAUAAUACAGGACCUUGGGCUCUAAGAUCGGAUUGUUUGCGAAUGAAUUGUGCUCUGCCACCCUGCAGUUGAAUAAUCUCGGGGAAGUUACUUAACAAUUCACUCAUAUUUAAAAUGGGAAUAAUGGCAAUACCUACUUCCCAGGGCUGUUAUGAGGUUCAAGUGAGAACCUCCAUGUAAAGGGUGAAACCCAGGGCCUGGUACAGAUGAAGGGCUCUGUAAGUAUUAGCCAAUAUGAACUUUUAUUACUGCAUGCUCAGUAAAUGUUUGUUGAAUGCAGAGAUGAUUAUUGUGAGGAUGGGAAACAAGUAAGUAGAGUGAGGCAGCUUCCUAAAGUCAGUCAGAGAAAGUAGCCAUAGGUUUUGGAGACUGAGGAGAAGGACAUUUGUGACAUGUUCAACUUAGUUUCUCAUUUAAGCAUUCAUUGCUAAGCAUUGUGACAGAUCCAGAAGUGGAAACCAUGCUUACCAUCUUUAAGGUGCUUUCAGCAAAGAUGGAGAAAGCAGACAAAAGCCCAGGAGACAUAGCAAAGAAUGUUAGGUAACAGUUAUGAGCGAACUGCUAAACUAUUUGGCUAAACCAUGAGGACUGCAAGAGUUCAGAAAACGUGCAUUGUGGUGCUCAUAACUACUUGCAUUGACCUGAUGAAUUGCACUUCCCAAAGACUGUUUAUGUUAUCUCACUUCAUCCUCCUAACUCUGAAGUAAGCAAGCAGGCAUUAUCAUCUCCAUUUUAGGACAAGCAAGCCAAGGCUCAGAGAAACAAGUGAUUUUCCCAAAGUUGGGAUGGGCACUUGGGUUACUCCUCUACCCUGCUCAGUCUCUAAGGACUGGAGGAGUGAAUCACGAAGGGUUACAGAGAGAGGGAAAUAGACAAAGUCAGAAAAGCAGUUAUACCCAGCGAUCACAGAUGGAUUUGCUACUCCUCCCUUAAAACCACUGUAUUCUAGAAAACCCUUAAAAGAGGCCUAGAAAAGAUAAAGUAAAAGAUCAAAGGAGAUAUUAGACAUUAAAGAGCAAAAAUAUGUUUGAAAGCCAAAAAUUAACCAGAAACAUGUAUGAUAAAUCACACCAUGAGAAUCGGGGGCUGUCUAUCAAACAGUAACUUGCACGGCUCAGGAAAUAGUAGAUACAGCCACACUUCUCCUGGAAGUCUGCCUGCACGCUGUGAGGUUUUGGCUCCGUAAAAAUAGUGAGAGCCAAGAUUAUCAAACACCUGAAGUGGCAAAGCACUUAUUUCUGCUUGAAAACAGUUUGGCCACGCCAAUUUGCCACACCUUCUAAGUCAUCUCUAAAAUAACUUAAAAAAAAUAAAAUCAAUGUUACCAACAUUACAUAUGACUCUUGUCAAACCGUCUUUGCUAUUUUGUAAAUUAAUAAAUAGCUCUUGAAAAAAAUGGCACUUGCAGCAAGAUAUACAUUUACCAUCUCAUUACUAGCAUGCCAUUUGCAUCUAAACCUACUUCCUUUACAGAACAUGGCAAAUAGCAGAAUAACACCAAAACUAGGUCCAAUUAUAUAAAGUGUCUUCAGCCUUCCCUCACUCUAACACACUUUUCUAUGACAUCCCACUGUCCAAAAAUACUAAUGUGCCUGUUCACCUACACAGAGCUUGAUUUAAUUAAAACUUCUAAGUUCUGGUUCCCAUUUUCUGAUCACCCUGUCUUCUGAGUGAUAGCACAUUAAAAUGAGCUAGAAUUCCUGCUGGCUGUUAUAAUUCAGAUAUGAGCCUCUUGAGAAACAAAUUAGUAGGGUAGAUGAUCUGCAAAGUUAUUUUUACUCCAAGGAGUUUGAUAUGUUAGGUGGUUUGUCUAGAUUUCUAGGUAUAAAUUUCUUGUUAAAAAUAGUUCCAGGGUUGUUCUCCUUGUGGUGGUCAAGAUCAUAGAAGAAAUUACUCGCAUCAUGAAUGGUGUCCUCUAUUGUUGUGUUUCUUCUCUAAU
rnacentral:lncRNA from 10 species